AACGAACGCUGGCGGCAUGCCUAACACAUGCAAGUCGAGCGAGCAGAUCCCUUCGGGGUGAAGCUAGCGGCGGACGGGUGAGUAACACGUGGGCGACCUGCCUCAUAGAGGGGAAUAGCCUUCCGAAAGGAAGAUUAAUACCGCAUAAGAUUGUAGCUUCGCAUGAAGCAGCAAUUAAAGGAGCAAUCCGCUAUGAGAUGGGCCCGCGGCGCAUUAGCUAGUUGGUGAGGUAACGGCUCACCAAGGCGACGACGCGUAGCCGACCUGAGAGGGUGAUCGGCCACAUUGGGACUGAGACACGGCCCAGACUCCUACGGGAGGCAGCAGUGGGGAAUAUUGCACAAUGGGGGAACCCCUGAUGCAGCAAUGCCGCGUGAGUGAUGACGGCCUUCGGGUUGUAAAGCUCUGUCUUCGGGGACGAUAAUGACGGUACCCGAGGAGGAAGCCACGGCUAACUACGUGCCAGCCGCCGCGGUAA
rnacentral:rRNA from 1 species